GCGCAGCAGUCGCGAAAACUUCACACUGUGCGAAAGCACGAUGAGGGAAUCCCAAGUGCUUGCACGUAAGUGUAAGCUGUUUUCUCUGUUUAAAACGCAGAGAGAGUAAGGGCUGGGUAAGACGGGUGCCAGCCGCCGCGGUAGUACCUGCAGCUCAAGUGGUGACCGUUAUUAUUGGGCCUAAAACGUCCGUAGCCGGUUUGAUAAAUGCCUGGGUAAAUCGUGUAGCUUAACUAUACGAAUUCCGGGUAGACUGUUAAACUCGAGACCGGGAGAAGUUAGAGGUACUCCUGGGGUAGAGGUGAAAUUCUGUAAUCCUAGGGGGACCACCAGUGGCGAAGGCGUCUAACUAGAACGGGUCUGACGGUGAGGGACGAAGCCCUGGGGCGCAAACGGGAUUAGAUACCGGGUAGU
rnacentral:rRNA from 1 species